GCAGGUAUAGCUCAGUGGUACAGUGUUUGCUUAGCAUGCACGAGGUCCUGGAUUCAAUCUUCAGCACCUCCA
rnacentral:tRNA from 1 species